GACGUAGGGCGCGAGCGUUGUCCGGAAUUAUUGGGCGUAAAGAGCUCGUAGGCGGCUUGUCGCGUCGACUGUGAAAACCCGUGGCUCAACCAUGCGGUCUGCAGUCGAUACGGGCAGGCUAGAAUUCGGUAGGGGAGACUGGAAUUCCUGGUGUAGCGGUGAAAUGCGCAGAUAUCAGGAGGAACACCGGUGGCGAAGGCGGCUCUCUGGUCCACAACUGACGCUGAGGAGCGAAAGCUAGGGGAGCAAACGGG
rnacentral:rRNA from 1 species